GACGAACGCUGGCGGCGUGCUUAACACAUGCAAGUCGAACGGAAAGGCCCUGCUUUUGUGGGGUGCUCGAGUGGCGAACGGGUGAGUAACACGUGAGUAACCUGCCCUUGACUUUGGGAUAACUUCAGGAAACUGGGGCUAAUACCGGAUAGGAGCUCCUGCUGCAUGGUGGGGGUUGGAAAGUUUCGGCGGUUGGGGAUGGACUCGCGGCUUAUCAGCUUGUUGGUGGGGUAGUGGCUUACCAAGGCUUUGACGGGUAGCCGGCCUGAGAGGGUGACCGGAGCGAGGGGGAGGGGGAGAGCGCAGAGAGGCGGAGGGGAGGGAGGAGUGGGGAGGAGUGCGGGAGGGGCGGGGGGCGGGGGGGGCAGCGCGGGGGGGGGGGGGACGGGCUGGGGGCAGGAGCCAGGUGUGGCCUGGGACGAGGGGGGGGGGGCGGGGAGGGGAAAAGAAGAACCGGUGAACUGGGGGCCAGCAACCGGGGGAAGAAUCGGAAGAACAAAGGGGUGAGC
rnacentral:rRNA from 1 species